rnacentral:rRNA from 1 species
CUUGCUACUGAUCUUAGCGGCGGACGGGUGAGUAAUGCUUAGGAAUCUGCCUAUUAGUGGGGGACAACAUUUCGAAAGGAAUGCUAAUACCGCAUACGUCCUACGGGAGAAAGCAGGGGAUCUUCGGACCUUGCGCUAAUAGAUGAGCCUAAGUCGGAUUAGCUAGUUGGUGGGGUAAAGGCCUACCAAGGCGACGAUCUGUAGCGGGUCUGAGAGGAUGAUCCGCCACACUGGGACUGAGACACGGCCCAGACUCCUACGGGAGGCAGCAGUGGGGAAUAUUGGACAAUGGGCGCAAGCCUGAUCCAGCCAUGCCGCGUGUGUGAAGAAGGCCUUAUGGUUGUAAAGCACUUUAAGCGAGGAGGAGGCUACUUUAGUUAAUACCUAGAGAUAGUGGACGUUACUCGCAGAAUAAGCACCGGCUAACUCUGUGCCAGCAGCCGCGGUAAUACAGAGGGUGCAAGCGUUAAUCGGAUUUACUGGGCGUAAAGCGCGCGUAGGCGGCUAAUUAAGUCAAAUGUGAAAUCCCCGAGCUUAACUUGGGAAUUGCAUUCGAUACUGGUUAGCUAGAGUGUGGGAGAGGAUGGUAGAAUUCCAGGUGUAGCGGUGAAAUGCGUAGAGAUCUGGAGGAAUACCGAUGGCGAAGGCAGCCAUCUGGCCUAACACUGACGCUGAGGUGCGAAAGCAUGGGGAGCAAACAGGAUUAGAUACCCUGGUAGU